UGGGGAAUUUUGGACAAUGGGCGAAAGCCUGAUCCAGCAAUGCCGCGUGUGUGAAGAAGGCCUUCGGGUUGUAAAGCACUUUUGUCCGGAAAGAAAUCCUUGGCUCUAAUACAGUCGGGGGAUGACGGUACCGGAAGAAUAAGCACCGGCUAACUACGUGCCAGCAGCCGCGGUAAUACGUAGGGUGCAAGCGUUAAUCGGAAUUACUGGGCGUAAAGCGUGCGCAGGCGGUUUGCUAAAGACCGAUGUAAAAUCCCCGGGCUCAACCUGGGAACUGCAUUGGUGACUGGCAGGCUAGAGUAUGGCAGAGGGGGGUAGAAUUCCACGUGUAGCAGUGAAAUGCGUAGAGAUGUGGAGGAAUACCGAUGGCGAAGGCAGCCCCCUGGGCCAAUACUGACGCUCAUGCACG
rnacentral:rRNA from 1 species